CGUAUAUAAAUUUUGAGACGAGUCAUUGUUUCAUUGCACAAUCUAAUGGUCUGAUGUUACAGUUAACACAAUCUAACAACACAGUCACAAACGUAACCAAUCACAAACUUUCAGCACAAAGUUCUCUAAACGUGAAGAGGAAAAGGGGAGAGGGAGAGAGUUAUAAUCCAACAUGAACACACAAAAAAAUCACUUUUUCGAAAUGAGAGAGAUUAAAGACAAAACCCAUGAAACCAAAUGAAUCAUAAAACACAGAACAAAUCCCAAAAACGUUUCUGACCAAAUCAAUUGAAAUUUCUUUCAAACAAUCAAUAGAGAAACAAAAGACGGGGUUUUUAAUGUAAUUGAGGGAUUAGAGAUAGAGACCUCUGAAUCUACACAACUUUCUUCUUCUGAAUCUUUCGUUGGAGCACUUGGUCGAAGAAGAAUCAAUCAGAAGUUUGCUGAAAUCUUUCGUCGUAGCACUUGGUUUUUAAUGUAAUCAUUGUUUGCUAAAUGAACCCUAGAGAC
rnacentral:lncRNA from 1 species